rnacentral:pre_miRNA from 1 species
AAUAAGUUCAUUUAUCAGUUUUUAGGACGCAAUGUUUGACUCUUUAUUUUAUUUGAAUUUUUUUGUGAUUAAUAUUUUUAUAUUAUUACUAGAUAAUAAAACAUGAAUAAUACUUUACAUGUGAUUAUUUUUUAAGUUUGUUCUAUAAAACUUUAAAAUAAGACGAAUGAUCAAACUUAGACAUAGAAAUCGAAAAAUAAACUUAUU